rnacentral:lncRNA from 10 species
AGCCCCUGGAACUCUGGCCCAAGGCUCUCUGACUGACACCUUCCCAGAUCUUCUAGGCUUAGCAGCUGAAGACUGACACUGCCCGAUUGCCUCGGAAGCCUGCAGGACCAUCACAGAUGCUCUGGGUAACUCUCACAGUGGAGGGACCUGGACUAGAGUGAGACCACGUAGGUGCCUAUGGCACAGAAUAUAAGUGAGAUCCAUGUACACAGAUCCACUUACUCAGAGAUGUGUCCAAGGAACCUUAUUUGCCUCACCCUAAUCCUGACCCUUCUCUGGAAUCUGUUCUCAGCCUGCGAUUUGUUUUAACAAAUAGAAUGUGUUGGAAGUGACGCUGUGCUAGUUCUGGGUCUAAGUCUUAUGAAUGCCUGGAAGCCACUAUUUUGUGCUCUUGGGAAUCUUCAGUCUUCUAAGAAGUCCAGUCAUACUACUGUUGAGAGCACAUGGAGAUACAGAGUGGACACUUCAUGUGGAAUGGGAGAAGCUCUGAGACUACAGGAGCAGAGGAA